UGUUGCUAAAAAUGUCUGGAU
rnacentral:piRNA from 1 species